AUCCCUCAAAGAUGAUGAGGUUAAUAGGUUCGAGGUGGAAGCGUGGUGACACAUGGAGCUGACGAAUACUAAUCGAUCGAAGACUUAAUCAAUUU
rnacentral:rRNA from 1 species